GGACUAAGUGUGAACUAAAAAGAUGCCUCCACUAUGAAAAUCUGUUUACUAUAUGCUUUUUUGGAAGAGCUUUAGUAUAUCAUUAAAGUUGUUGUAGACAUUUCUUUUUGAGACUUCUCUUUUCUUGAAAACCAAAGGCUUCAGUUUACAUUUUUAUUUUGAAAUUAAUGGAUACUGCCAUAGGAUUAUGAAGUGGUUAUCACAAUCAAACCAGAAACAUAUCAAUCUUUAGUUUUCACUCGAAC
rnacentral:lncRNA from 1 species